rnacentral:sRNA from 1 species
GCUGGGUGUGGUGGUGCACACCUGUAGUCCCAGUUACAUGGGAGGCUGAGGCAGGAGAAUUGCUUGAACCUGGGAGGUUGCAGUGAGCCAGGAUCACACCACUGCACUCCAGCCUGGGCUACAGAGCAAGACUCUGUCUCUA